GCAUAACGCGAAGAACCUUACCAGGGCUUGACAUCCAUAGAAUCCUGUAGAGAUACGGGAGUGCCUUCGGGAACUAUGAGACAGGUGGUGCAUGGUUGUCGUCAGCUCGUGUCGUGAGAUGUUGGGUUAAGUCCCGCAACGAGCGCAACCCUCGUCACUAGUUACUAACGGUUCGGCCGAGGACUCUAGUGAGACUGCCUUCGUAAGGAGGAGGAAGGUGAGGACGACGUCAAGUCAUCAUGGCCCUUACGGCCAGGGCGACACACGUGCUACAAUGGGAUGUACAAUGAGACGCAAUACCGCGAGGUGGAGCAAAUCUAUAAAACAUCUCUCAGUUCGGAUUGUAGUCUGCAACUCGACUACAUGAAGCUGGAAUCACUAGUAAUCGUAGAUCAGCCAUGCUACGGUGAAUACGUUCCCGGGUCUUGUACACACCG
rnacentral:rRNA from 1 species